rnacentral:rRNA from 1 species
CUACGACCAUAUCAUUGAAAAACACCGGUUCUCGUCCGAUCACCAAGUUAAGCAACGUCGAGCCCAGUUAGUACUUGGAUGGGUGACCGCCUGGGAAUACCGGGUGUUGUAG